rnacentral:siRNA from 1 species
UUGAGGGUGUUUAGGUAAUA